AACGGCCAUACCAUGCUGAAUAAACCGGUUCUCGUUAGUUCAGAGCAUCAUUGGGCACGGUCAGUACUUGGAUGAGUGACCACCUGGGAACACCGAGUGUCGUU